GGAUGUGAGGGUGCUCUGGCUGCAACACCUGUCACCCAUUGAUGACCAAGGCUGGCUAGGGAGAUGGCCCCCUCCUCCCUCACCGCUCCACAUGCCGCCUUCCUGAAGCUGAGCUCUUAGUUGAGCAGGGCGACCUUCUCAGUCAAGGGUAUUCGAGCAGCUGCACUGCCCUUCUAGAACCUCCAAGCCAGCUCCCAACAUUACCUAAUUAGAAAGGCCUCACCCUCUUCAUUAUUCCUUGUAUGACUCACUUAUUAGUUUCAUAGCUCUA
rnacentral:snRNA from 1 species